rnacentral:rRNA from 1 species
UGCAGAAUCCCGUGAAUCAUCGAGUUUUUGAACGCAAUUUGCGCCCGAGGCUUCGGUCGAGGGCACGUCUGUCUGGGCGUCGCAU